AUUGAACGCUGGCGGCAGGCCUAACACAUGCAAGUCGAGCGGAUGAAGGGAGCUGGCUCCUGGAGUCAGCGGCGGACGGGUGUGUAAUGCCUAGGAAUCUGCCUGGGAGUGGGGGAUAACGUCGGGAAACGGGCUCUAAUACCGCGUACGCCGUGGGGGAGAGAGUGGGGGAUCUUCGCACCGCUCGCUAUCGCAUCAUCCUAGGUCGGAUUAGCUAGUUGGUGGGGUAAAGGCCUACCAAGGCGACGAUCCGUAACUGGUCUGAGAGGAUGAUCAGUCACACUGGAACUGAGACACGGUCCAGACUCCUACGGGAGGCAGCAGUGGGGAAUAUUGGACAAUGGGCGAAAGCCUGAUCCAGCAAUGCCGCGUGUGUGAAGAAGGUCUUCGGAUUGUAAAGCACUUUAAGUUGGGAGGAAGGGCAGUAAGCUAAUACCUUGCUGUUUUGACGUUACCAACAGAAUAAGCACCGGCUAACUUCGUG
rnacentral:rRNA from 1 species